GACGAACGCUGGCGGCGUGCUUAGCACAUGCAAGUCGAACGGAAAGGCCCUGCUUUUGUGGGGUGCUCGAGUGGCGAACGGGUGAGUAACACGUGAGUAACCUGCCCUUGACUUUGGGAUAACUUCAGGAAACUGGGGCUAAUACCGGAUAGGAGCUCCUGCUGCAUGGUGGGGGUUGGAAAGUUUCGGCGGUUGGGGAUGGACUCGCGGCUUAUCAGCUUGUUGGUGGGGUAGUGGCUUACCAAGGCUUUGACGGGUAGCCGGCCUGAGAGGGUGACCGGCCACAUUGGGACUGAGAUACGGCCCAGACUCCUACGGGAGGCAGCAGUGGGGAAUAUUGCACAAUGGGCGGAGGCCUGAUGCAGCAACGCCGCGUGCGGGAUGACGGCCUUCGGGUUGUAAACCGCUUUCGCCUGUGACGAAGCGUGAGUGACGGUAAUGGGUAAAGAAGCACCGGCUAACUACGUG
rnacentral:rRNA from 1 species